AAGUCGUAACAAGGUAACCGUAGGUGAACCUGCGGUUGGAUCAUUACUAAGGUUAGGGUAUCUUGCCCUAUACAACCUUUUGUGAACCUGUAUACUGUAAAAUGGUAGUGCUUCCUGUUAAUUCAAGAACCUACCAACAGGGUUGUGGUAAACCUUUUUGGUUUCUGCAAUUUCUGAAUGAACAAACAUGUGUAUUAAUUUAAUGACUUGUGGUUUACCUGAAAGGGAAAACAAACCAAAUCUAAAACAACUUUUGACAACGGAUCUCUUGGCUCUC
rnacentral:misc_RNA from 1 species